rnacentral:lncRNA from 1 species
GGGCAUGCUCCUGACGUCGUCCAUGGCGACGCGCACCGUUCGGAGGGGGUCGUCGCGGGGGAAGUUGCCGUCGUAGAUCACUUCGACGUAGCCGUCGUUAUAUGCUGCUGCGUCGGAGACGACGCGGGCGCCGAGCCAGAGCACGAGGCAGUGCCCCGUCGGCAGGAUCCCGGCGCGCGUGCGCACCUUCACCGACAUCCCCUUCUUCGCCCAGAUCGACGAAGAACGCGGCCGGGUCGCUGUGGUUGGCAUGGUCUUGAUGUACUCUGCUCCGGUGGUGGUGUCAGCUCCGCUUGAAGCCGGCGGGAUCGACGCGGAUCGGCGCGGCGGGGCGGUGCACCUCGU